UAUAUGGAUUGUCACCGGUCUCCUCUACACCUUCCAAUAUCUUUUACUGUUGUGCGUGCUCUCCACGUGCCACCCUGAUUCGCAUGUUACACAUGCCGCUUCCAUCUCUGCUUUGUUUUGAGCUGAGCGCUUGCUUGUCGCCUUCCUCGAUGCUCAUACAAUGGCUUUCCAUAAAUUAAUUUACACUUUUGGGCUAUGGAGUUUUGCAGAUCUUCUUGUAGACUUUUUUGAGGUGUCCUCCUAACGCUGGGUUGGUUACUCCCGAUAAUUGAUCUUAUCCAACCUCAAUCAGUAUCAUCUUUGCUAUGUGUGGGUUGGUUACUCCCGAGAAUUGAUCUUAUCCAACCUCAAUCAGUAUCAUCUUUGCUAUGUGUGGGUUGGUUACUCCCGAGAAUUGAUCUUAUCCAACCUCAAUCAGUAUCUUUGCUAUGUGGAUCUCCUUCUUGUGUGCUGCAGCAACACUUUCUACGUGGAGGUUUAGGCUACUAGAAGAGAGAAUUUAAGCGAGGAUGAAAAUUCUAUCUAGUUGUAACAAGGUACGGACAUUCAUUCCUCAUCUAUAACACAAGCUACAGCAAAAAUUAUUACAGAUUGCAAGAUAUACAGAAGCUCACCUACACAAUUGGCAUAUGGAGCAAACUAGCUUAAGCAAAUAAGUGAGGUAUAUUGAAA